rnacentral:rRNA from 1 species
CAGGCCUAACACAUGCAAGUCGAACGAGUGCCUUCGGGUGCUAGUGGCGCACGGGUGCGUAACGCGUGGGAAUCUGCCCCUUGGUUCGGAAUAACAGUUGGAAACGACUGCUAAUACCGGAUGACGACGUAAGUCCAAAGAUUUAUCGCCGAGGGAUGAGCCCGCGUAGGAUUAGCUAGUUGGUGUGGUAAAGGCGCACCAAGGCGACGAUCCUUAGCUGGUCUGAGAGGAUGAUCAGCCACACUGGGACUGAGACACGGCCCAGACUCCUACGGGAGGCAGCAGUGGGGAAUAUUGGACAAUGGGCGAAAGCCUGAUCCAGCAAUGCCGCGUGAGUGAUGAAGGCCUUAGGGUUGUAAAGCUCUUUUACCCGGGAUGAUAAUGACAGUACCGGGAGAAUAAGCUCCGGCUAACUCCGUGCCAGCAGCCGCGGUAAU